rnacentral:rRNA from 1 species
UACGUAGGGGGCGAGCGUUGUCCGGAGUUAUUGGGCGUAAAGAGCGUGUAGGCGGCCAUGUAGGUCCGUUGUGAAAACUCGAGGCUCAACCUCGAGACGCCGAUGGAAACCAUGUGGCUAGAGUCCGGAAGAGGAGAGUGGAAUUCCUGGUGUAGCGGUGAAAUGCGCAGAUAUCAGGAAGAACACCCGUGGCUAAGGCGGCUCUCUAGUACGGUACUGACGCUGAGACGCGAAAGCGUGGGGAGCGAACAGG